rnacentral:rRNA from 1 species
CCUACGGGAGGCAGCAGUAGGGAAUCUUCCACAAUGGACGAAAGUCUGAUGGAGCAACGCCGCGUGAGUGAAGAAGGGUUUCGGCUCGUAAAGCUCUGUUGGUAGUGAAGAAAGAUAGAGGUAGUAACUGGCCUUUAUUUGACGGUAAUUACUUAGAAAGUCACGGCUAACUACGUGCAAGCAGCCGCGGUAAUACGGAGGUGGCAAGCGUUGUCCGGAUUUUUUGGGCGUAAAGCGAGUGCAGGCGGUUCAAUAAGUCUGAUGUGAAAGCCUUCGGCUCAACCGGAGAAUUGCAUCAGAAACUGUUGAACUUGAGUGCAGAAGAGGAGAGUGGAACUCCAUGUGUAGCGGUGGAAUGCGUAGAUAUAUGGAAGAACACCAGUGGCGAAGGCGGCUCUCUGGUCUGCAACUGACGCUGAGGCUCGAAAGCAUGGGUAGCGAACAGGAUUAGAUACCCGAGUAGUC